rnacentral:rRNA from 1 species
UACAGAGGGUGCGAGCGUUGUUCGGAAUUAUUGGGCGUAAAGCGCUUGUAGGCGGCACGUCAAGUCGCGUGUGAAAUCCCCAGGCUUAACCUGGGAAGUGCGCGCGAAACUGACGAGCUUGAGUGCCGGAGAGGGUCGCGGAAUUCCCGGUGUAGAGGUGAAAUUCGUAGAUAUCGGGAGGAACACCGGUGGCGAAGGCGGGUCUCUGGGCCGUAACUGACGCUGAGGAGCGAAAGCGUGGGGAGCGAACAGG